CUCUCAGGUCUGGAGCUGAACGGGAUGGGUGUUGAUAAAGGGGAGACUCCUCCUCCCCUGCCCGUGAAGGGCAUCUCUGCUGAUUAUGGGAACCUGCUAGGAGAUAAUCAAGACUUGACGAGUCCCUCCACCCCUCCCCUGACUCACCAUCAAAGGCAUCUGCCGCCUCCUCUUCCCAGCAAGACUCCCCCUCCCCCUCCCCCGAAGACCACCAGGAAACAAGCCUCCAUCGAUUCAGGAAUUGUACAAUAAACAAUGACAUUAAGACACCAGAUUAAAAAAAAAACAAGGUUCUUUCCCCUCUGCAAUCUCUCCCCCCCCCCCCCCCCCCGUCCCCCCCGUCCCCGCUCAACACAAGGAUGCAUUCCAAAAUGGCGACCUAUUACCAGUAGUGCACUACUUUGGACUACUUUUGACCAUAGGGCUCUGGUCAAACGUAGGGCACUAUAUAGUGAAGAGGGUGCCAUUUGGGGAAACAGCAACAGUCUGACCAGGAGUGGAAGAAGAGUUUCUCACUCAGGCAACACUCCUUAUUGAGCCAUUCAUUUUGACUGUGUCCCAAACGGCACCCUAUUCCCUAUAUAGUGCACUACUUUUGGUCACGGCCGAUUAAGGCUCUGGUAAAUAGUAGUUCACUACGUAGGGAAUAUGGGGGUGCCGUUUGGUGCAGAGACUCAUUGAUUCUUUCAUUUUUGCCUCUAGUGUGAUGAUGCGGUCUACUUUACCAUAGGUAGAUAGGUGAAUCAGUUUCACAUGAUUACUGGUCACUGAAUUCAUUGAUGCUGUUUACCAUCUAUGACUCCAUUCUCCACUUGAUAUACCACUUAGUUCAGGCCUUUGUAAAUGCUAUGAGAUCGUGUUCCACCUAUAGAAUUAGAAUGAGUGAAAUGGAUUUAGAAUCAGAACCAGGUGAGUGAACCGUUCUCUGGUUCUGUCUUUUACACUUUGACCAAUAGACAGGCUGGUGAGUGACGAGCAGCAUUCUGACCCCGCCCACCUGCUCUUAGGAGCUGGGAGCACAUAGUAACAGAAAACAGGCUUUUUAUUCCGUAGUUUAUCUUUUGUAUGCAUAGUUACAGAAAACAUCAUUUUAUUCAGUGGUUUAUCUUUUUCUAUCCAUAUUCCCGCUUUGUACAGAGGUUUGUAUAUAGGAUUUUAUUUUCAUUUUUUAUGUGGAAUUUAUCAUGACUUUUUUGUAUUAACAUUGCAUUAGAUUAACAGGUUUUCAUUUAUAUACCCCCCAAAAAGUUUUUUUUAAGUUUUUAAAUGACAGGGACUGUAAAGAAUUGGUAUGUGAGAAUCUGCCUAUCAUUGAUUCUAUUGGUAAGGUUUGUGUUUUCUUUGGAGUGAACACAACUAACUCCCUCCUUCAUCAUACGUUGUCAUUGUAUAGGAUUUUUAAUGCUGUAACAUUGACUGUUUCCAAUUCACUACUGACUUCUGAAUAAACGUUCAACUGUA